rnacentral:rRNA from 1 species
CUACCCGGGUUUCUAAUCCUGUUUGCUACCCACGCUUUCGCGCUUUAGCGUCAGUAUCUGUCCAGUAAGCUGGCUUCCCCAUCGGCAUUCCUACAAAUAUCUACGAAUUUCACCUCUACACUUGUAGUUCCACUUACCUCUCCAGUACUCUAGUCAUGCAGUUUCCAAUGCAAUACAGAGUUGAGCCCUGCAUUUUCACAUCAGACUUACAUAACCACCUAGACGCGCUUUACGCCCAAUAAAUCCGGAUAACGCUUGUGACAUACGUAUUACCGCGGCUGCUGGCA